rnacentral:misc_RNA from 1 species
AAGUCGUAACAAGGUUUCCGUAGGUGAACCUGCGGAAGGAUCAUUAACAAAUUCAACACAACAUGUGUCACGGUGCUGUUCCCGGGUGGGGAGCCGGGACGACAAAACCUGCCAGAGCAUUAUAUGCAACGCAUCAACUUUUAACAAUGGAUCUCUUGGCUCUU